AGAGACGGGUGACGAUUUCGGAAAGGGGAAGUACACCUCGCCAGCGGUUCUCCAACUCCUAUAAACAAGAUGACGCCAUUGCCACCUCUCCUUUCAAGCAAUAAGCUUCCUCUUCAUUCUUCUCCAACCUUUAUUCUCUUCUCUAAAUCAAUCAGCCGUUUCUAUUUUCUGAUUUCAGGCCGACAAUGUCAUCGUCAACCACCUCCUCGCGUUCCAUUUCAUUUCCUGAAAAUCGAGUGGUUCUUGGUGUUGGUUCUGUUGCUGUUGAUUUUUUGGCGGCAGUGGCUUCUUAUCCAAAUCCUGAUGACAAAAUUAGAACCACGAGCUUAAAGGUACAAGGUGGAGGAAAUGUAGGAAAUGCUUUAACUUCUGCAGCUCGGUUGGGUUUAACACCAAGGAUAAUUUCCAAGGUUGCAGAUGAUAGUCAAGGAAGGAGCAUAAUUGAGGAGCUAGAAGCCGAUGGCGUAGAUACAUCUUUUCUUGUGGUUUCUGAAGGGGGCAUUUCACCAUUUACCUAUAUUAUUGUGGAUAAUAAAACGCACACUCGUACAUGCAUCCACACCCCAGGAUCUCCUCCCAUGGUGCCAGAUGACCUUUCGCGAUCAAGCUUGUUGUCUGCUUUAGAUGGGGCUAAAAUUGUAUAUUCUGACAUAAGAUUGCACGAAACUGCUUUGCUUGUUGCACAAGAGGCAGCUCGGCAGAAUAUACCUAUGUUGAUUGAUGCAGAAAGGAAAAGGGAAGGUCUGGAUGAUCUCCUGGCAUUUGCCAGUUAUGUUGUCUGUUCAACAAGUUUUCCACAGGAAUGGACUGAGGCACCAUCGAUUCCAUCUGCACUUGUUUCCAUGCUUGUGCGACUUCCAAAACUCAGAUUUGUGAUUGUCACAUUGGGUGAAAAUGGAUGCAUAAUGCUCGAAAGAAGUACUGAUGAAAAAUAUGAUCAGAUGGAAGAGUUUGAAGUAGACAGCUUACUUGAAGUGGUCAAGAGCAGAAGAAAUGAGAAUAUAAAUGUUCCAACUUCUGUUUCAUCGCCAGUGGCCAAGUUGAGAGCUCAGGGGAUAGGGACAGUUUGUGGUAGGCUGUUGCUCGGGACAGCUGAAAAAAUACCAGAGUCCGAGAUUGUUGAUACAACUGGUGCUGGAGAUGCAUUCAUUGGAGCAGUUCUUUAUGCCUUAUGUGCCAACAUGCCACCAGAGAAGUUAUUGCCAUUUUCUGCCCAAGUGGCUGCUGGAUGUUGUCGUGCUUUGGGUGCUCGAAGCGGUCUUCCAUAUCAUACGGAUCCACGGCUGGCAUCUUUCUUACACUAGAUCAUCAUCAUUAACUCAACUGAGAAUUUAUAUUCUCAGCCCACUCCAUUAACUCACGAUUUUUUGUGAAAAUGUAAUUCAGCCCAAAGCAUGAAUAUUGAUUUAAUAGAAGCGUCAUUGAGUUCCAUGCCAUGCCUUCUCUUCUUUUGAAUUUCUUUCAACAGGUUUUACGGCCAAAAAAUUUGGGGAAAACAAGCUCCAAUGUCAGAAACUUGAUGCUUUCUUCGAUUGAAACAGUUAUUAUGGAUUUUUGAAAGUACAUGGUACAUGUUUCAUCAUUCUUUGUGGAGUCUCAUUUCUUGAUCAUUGACAUUUGGGUUGCCUUUCUUCUGGGAUCGGGAGCGAGAAUCUGGAGAUGUUAUAAACGAAAGAUUGGAGGGAGUUGCCAAGCUGAACAAAACUAGACAAGGCCAUAUUUUGUAUUCUAGAUUUCACCUGGGAAUUAUGAUUUACAUUUUUCUAUACAGAUAGAUAAUAUCUUUUGUAUAUAGCAAAAUUCGUCUUAUAUUUUGUUUUCUUCUCUUCUGGAAUAAAAAAGAGAGUGACAAAUAAUUGUUAGAAUUAUCGGGCAAGGAUUUUUUUUAGUC